rnacentral:misc_RNA from 1 species
AGUCGUAACAAGGUUUCCCUGCGGAAGGAACAUUAGCACGUAGACAAAAGUUUCAACAACCCUGUGAACCUUCAGCGUGUUCUUGCAGGACAUCAAAACAGCAAUCCCGAGUAGGAAGUUCUGUGCGUGGACGCUGCAAUUGAGCGCUAGAUAAAGCACCCUGGUACCCGGGUCCUCAAUCUGAAAGCGGCAAGGAUCCAUGUUCAGGGUGGCGCAGUCAACGAUCGCGAAAGGUCCGCGACCGGCGCGCGAAACCCCCUACGUCAUCCCUAUGUACCCUCCGAAACCUGUUAACAAUGGAUAUCUUGGUUCUC